UUGCCAUGAUGAGCGUUAUCCUUUUUCAGUUCUGCUUCUGAAGAAGAAUGAAGAUAAACAAAUACCAUAACCCUCCUCUGAUGC
rnacentral:snoRNA from 1 species